AGAGGUUGCAGUGAGCCGAGAUCGCACCACUGCACUCCCUGGGGGACAGAGCGAGACUGUCUCAAAAAAAAUUUUUUUAAAGUGUUACCUCCCCCACCUCUUCCUCUCGUUCUUGCCAUGUGGUACAUCGGGCUACCUCUUCACCUUCUGCCCUGAUUGUAAGCUUCCUGAGGCCUUCACCAGAAGCAGAUGCUGGCACCAUGCGUCCUGUACAGCCUACAGAACCGUAAGCCAUAAGCAUAAACCGUAAACCUCUUUUUAAAAUAAAUUACCCAGUCUCGGGUGUUCCAUUACAGAGAUCCAAAGACAGACUAACCCACUGGGUCUAAAAAGUAUAGGCCCAAGAUAAUCUCAGAACUUUGGAGUCAUUCUUUCAUUCGUUCAACAAAUAACUAUCCGGUACUUGUUGUCUAUGGAGUAGUCUUCUAGGCAUUGGGAAUACUGCCAAUAAAACAAAAAUUCCUGUUUUCAUAGAGCUUAUGUGUUAGUUAGGGAAGACCAACAAUAACAAUGUUAGAAGUAAAUGAUAUGGCCGGGCGUGGUGGCUCAUGCCUGUAAUCCCAGCACUUUGGGAGGCCGAAGUGGGCGGAUCACCUGAGGUCAGGAGUUUGAGACCAGCCUGGCCAACAUGGCGAAACCCUUUCUCUAUUAAAAAUACAAAAAUUAGCCAGGCAUGGUGGUGCACACCUGUAAUCCCAGCUACUUGGGAGGCUGAGGCAGGGACAAAUUGUUUGAACCCAGGAGAUGGAGGUUGCAGUGAGAUUGUGCCACUGCACUCCAGCCUGGGCAACAGAACGAGACUCCGUCUCAAAAAAAUAAAAAACAAAAAAGAAAUGAAGUAAAUGAUACAUUAGAAGGUAAUGAGUGCUAUGUAGGAAAAUGAAGCUGGAAGCUCCUAUUAAUUGGAUGUUGGAACAGCUGGAUUGAUUGCAAUACUCUGUUUUGAAUUUGUAUUCGAAUACAAGUUAUUGUAUUUCUUUUUGUCUCUGCCCUACAUUCUAGCAGAAUUCUAGCAGAGUUUCCUAUCUUAAAAUGUUGAACAUUGGCCAGGUGCGGUGGCUCACACCUGUAAUCCUAGCACUUU
rnacentral:lncRNA from 1 species